rnacentral:rRNA from 1 species
UACGAAGGGGGCUAGCGUUGCUCGGAAUCACUGGGCGUAAAGGGUGCGUAGGCGGGUCUUUAAGUCAGGGGUGAAAUCCUGGAGCUCAACUCCAGAACUGCCUUUGAUACUGAGGAUCUUGAGUUCGGGAGAGGUGAGUGGAACUGCGAGUGUAGAGGUGAAAUUCGUAGAUAUUCGGAGGAACACCAGUGGCGAAGGCGGCUCACGGGUCCGGUACUGACGCUGAGGUGCGAAAGCGGGGGGAGCGAACAGG